AUUGAACGCUGGCGGCAGGCCUAACACAUGCAAGUCGAGCGAGCGGCGGACGGGUGAGUAAUGUAUGGGGACUGCCCGAUAGAGGGGGAUAACUACUGGAAACCGUGGCUAAUACCGCAUACUGUCGGAUAACCCAUAUGGGAUUAGCUAGUGGGUGGGGUAAAGGCUCACCUAGGCGACGAUCUCUAGCUGGUCUGAGAGGCUGAUCAGCAACACUGGGACUGAGACACGGCCCAGACUCCUACGGAGGCAGCAGUGGGGAAUAUUGGACAAUGGGCGAAAGCCUGAUGCAGCCACGCCGCGUGUAUGAAGAAGGCCUUAGGGUUGUAAAGUACUUUCAGCGGGGAGGCGUUACCCGCAGAGGAAGCACCGGCUAACUACGUGCCAGCAGCCGCGGUAAUUC
rnacentral:rRNA from 1 species